rnacentral:tRNA from 1 species
UCCCCAGUGGUUCAGUGGUUAAAACUCUGUGCUUCCAAAGCAAAGGGUGCGGGUUUGACCCCUGGCUGGGGAA